UCCUGGGGCCCCAAGCAUGCUUUCUCCCACGGGCUUUCCUAGCAUGUGUUUGCGCAUGCGUUUUUGUCUGGGAGUGGAGUGCGCAUGUGCUCCAAUGUCCUUCCUCAGUUGCCAUCCACCCCUAAAGUUCCCCAGUGUGACUGGACUGGCUUGCGGCAGCAGCACUCCAGCUUCCACUUCCCCGGCUGUUUCCUUGAUUCCGGAGCUCCAAAGACCAGGCAGGCCUCCUGCUUGUGUAACAAGCACUUCAUUGUCUAAUCUGCCCUUCGCUCCGGGUCCCUGGAGAUGUCUCUAAGACAUGAGCGCACAGGGCCGAACACUUGAAGUAUGACAUUCAGGACCUCACAGCCUCACAGAGCCACCCAUUCCAGCAUCCUGUUGAACAGCUGUCCAGGGAUCACCCCAUCAAAUGGUGGCUGCGAAAUGGCUUUCUAUGGACUUCUCUCCCUGGAGUCUUCCAAGCCACUGUAAGUUAAGAUACAUGAUUUCCAUCACAGAACCUGACCACAGAAAAUCAGUAACUUACUAACAGACUUGCCUUCCCACUAGAAUUACCUCAGGAACCUGAAAUGUGGCUUUCUUGUAUCCAUAUGUGGUCUUCUUCAGUCAGGGCUGGGUACUGAGACAUUGGAAACUGUGGCAGGAGCACCUUUGCACAUGUGUAUGGAGGCCAGAGGAAAGUCUCAACUGUUAUUCCUGAGGAGGGUCUAUUCCAGUUCUGAGACAAGCUCUCACACUGGAGACUUGUGCUCAUGGGCUAGGCUAGGCUGAGUGGCUAGCAAACCUCAAGGGCCAUUCUAUUUCUACUUCUCCAGAGUAGUGGGUUACAUGUUUGACACCAUGCCUGGCAUUUUCACAUGGCUUCUGAGGAACGGAUUCAAGUCGUUGUACUGGCAAAGCAAUUACUUUACCAACUGAUAAUGUCCCCAGUCACUGGGGAACAUUUUUAAAAGAUUGAAUCACUUAUUUUCUGAGGUGGAACUAGAUGAUAUCCUUCCCAAUUCUCAAUUAUCUGGCAUCUAAUCACAGCUGUGUAGUCUGCCGAACCAUGAACCCCCUCUGUCAUCAUGGCGCCCAACACUGAGACGGACAAAGAGCCCAUGUGGUCCAGAAACUCCUUACAACAAAGGGAAGCCAUAUUUCAGUUUCCUGAGGUAAUUCAGUAUGAAGGCAAGUCUGUUAGUUAGUUAUUGAUUUUCUGUGGUCAGGUUACCUUUUCUCCAGGAAAAUAGUUUUCCUAAAUUCAAGGUCAUCAGAGUCCUUUAUUCACAGGCAACACUCAUUUCUUCCUAGUAUGUGACAUUCUGGGUUGGAAACACUACAGUCAACCACCAAAGACAAUCCUCAACACUGAGGGCACUUUUCUCCUGCUUGUGUGAGUUAGACAGGCAGCCACACCUUGUCACACCCCUCCAUUUGAAUUCUCUGCCCAACAGUUCUCACUUUCUGAUACCUUUUUUUUUUUUUAAAUAAUUACUUGCUUAUGGAAACUCCUAUACUGAAAUAUAGGCUUGUAAGACUCCUGGUGCCCUCUGGUUCUAUGAUGUGCAUCUAGAACUGUCAAUAUUGCCUGAAUGGAAGGUCGAGCAUCCCAGCAUCUUCUGCCUAUAGGUGAGUCCUCCACUGAAGCUACUGUGUGGAAACCACAGGUGAUUUCCAUGAUGAGUAACCCAGAGUUUCCGCCUAUAUAUUGACCUCACAUGGACCAUUUGAAUGUUACAUGAUCAGCACAUCUAAAAAGACUUAUCAAAAUGAGGGGUACAUGUCCGUGACAUUUAUAGUAGAAUAAAUAUAGUA